rnacentral:tRNA from 1 species
ACUUAGAUAGCUUAAAUACAGAGCAUAAUAUUGAAGAUAUUAGGGUAAUAUGAUUAUUUUUAAGUA